UACCUACGGGGGGCAGCAGUAGGGAAUCUUCCACAAUGGGCGAAAGUCUGACGGAGCAACGCCGCGUGAGUGAAGAAGGUUUUCGGAUCGUAAAACUCUGUUGUUAGAGAAGAACAAGUGCUAGAGUAACUGUUAGCGCCUUGACGGUAUCUAACCAGAAAGCCACGGCUAACUACGUGCCAGCAGCCGCGGUAAUACGUAGGUGGCAAGCGUUGUCCGGAUUUAUUGGGCGUAAAGAGAGCGCAGGCGGUUCUUUAAG
rnacentral:rRNA from 1 species